rnacentral:rRNA from 1 species
AUGAGUGGUCGGGUGCGGCGCUGCCUGCGCGGCCGUGCACGGGCUGACGCGGCAGAGGACGGAGGGACUCGCGACCUGAAGGCUGCACAGGUGUUGUCCAUGCGAAGGAGGAGUGCUUGCGUGAGUGCGCGAGGUGCUGCUGGAGUUUUUGUGCUGCUGCUGCUGCGUGAGGCGGCGGGAGGAGGUAGGAGAGGUGGUCAUGGAGCUGCCGUUGCUGCUGCUGUUCCUUGGGAGGAAGAGGUGUUGCUUGCUGCUACUGGUGGUGGUCAGUGCUACUGCUGUUGUGGGAUGCUGUUGUUGGGUGUGUAG